rnacentral:pre_miRNA from 1 species
ACGUCCCGGGACGACUUGAAGUCGGCCCAGGACGGCUUGAAGACGGCCCGGGACGGCU